GGAGAGCUGUAGCUCAGGGGUAGAGCAGAUGCUUUCCCUGCUGAGGCUCCUGGGUUCGAUUCCUGGCAUCUCCA